CAUCUUUGUGUUGAGCACCUUGUGAUUGGGCCCACGCCCCCUUCUACCCUCACGACGCUCACCGGAGGCCGAUAUCUCCUUUCUUUUUUCUUUUGGCUCUUUCAUGGGCUGUGCACAGCGCAGCGCAGAAACGGGCGUUGUGUCGCUCAGUAUACCAUCACUACUCUCACCUAUCCACCCACGCCAGCACAGCAACGCCUCCCACACACCCAAGGCCAUCCCCGCGAACACUCGCUGUUUUUGUGGUUUCGUUUUCUUGUUCGCUUUUUGUGCUGUGCUGAACGCCCUCGCCUGGGCCUUUGCUGCUUCACGCGCGUGGGGGCGCUCCGUUUUUCGUUUUUCUUUCGCGUGCCGUGUUGUCUUCCGCUCUCUUCAUUGCUCUGCCGCUCACCCUCUGACUGUCGAUGCCGCUCAAAGGCGAGGAGGCGGGGAACUUCCCGCGCUACUUCAGCCCGACGCACCCACGCAAAGGAUAUGCGGAGGAUGCCGCCAGUAGUGUGGACGAUGUUUAUCCCAUUGACCUGACGAUAUCGCACCGGUCCCGUAACCAAAACUUGCCUCCCCUGAAGCGCUACUGGCGCGCGCGCAGUGUCCGCCGCAACCUUGCCCAGACGAACGAACUGGAUGAGCUGGAGAAUCGGGCACAUGCGCAGAAGAGCCUGUCGUGGUCGAACACCCACGCGGCCCACACCAGAGAGAACGACUUUACGUACAUUUCCGGGCCAAAGUACUUCUUCCAGCAGUUUGUGCGCCAGUACCCGAUCGCGGCCUUCUUUGUUUGGACGUUCCUGUUUCUGGUGGAGCUUUCCAUGGUGGCGCUCUACAUUAUGCAGUCCACCGUGAGCUACAACGUCACCUGGGUCCAGUACGACACCCGCGAGCGCAGCGGGUGGUUCUACGCCCGCUCCGUGCUCUCGUUCAUCUCGCUGGUGCAGAUGUUCUUUGCCUACUCGCUGAGCGUGAUGACUAUCACGGUGGUGCUCAUCACAUCCAUUUACCAAAUCGUCAUCUUCUUCGUCUCUAUCCCGUCGAAUCUCGGCUGGGUCAGUCGCCUGUACGUUCCUUACUUCAUGCGGUGCUGGCCGAUGCGGCAGUACUUUCUCUUCAUCCUCGACUCGGUCGCGCUGAUGAUGCCGCGCAACCGCAAGCUGGACUUGCUACGGCUGGCUGCGGGCCCGCUGACCCUCUUUAUCUGCAUGGUGUUCUCUGCCUCUGGUUUCUUCCGCAUCGACCAGUGCUUCCAGGGGUACCCUAUGAACGUGGCGGUCUCCAUCUACUUCGUCAUUGUAACUGUGUCGACGGUCGGCUUUGGCGAUGUGGUGCCCAAGACACCGGACGGCAAAGCCAUCACCAUUGUCAUCAUCUUCGUCUUUAUUGCGAAGAUGCCUACGUUUAUCCGCGUCAUCCGCUCGACAGCGAAGAUUUUGAAGGCGUACCGCUCCUAUACUGGCCGCAAAAACCACUUUAUCGUGUACGGCCACGUCAACCGCGAGGAGGUCAUCUCGAUUUUGGACGAGGUGUUCUGCCUGUAUCCAAUGAAGUCCGUGUGCUUCUGCAGCAAAGAGUUUGCGCCGGACGUGCUCUCGAUCGGCCGGCACCCUACCUACCGGCUGCGCAGCACGUUCCUCAUUGUGGACACACUGGACACCUUCGCGCUGCGUCGCAUGAAGGCACAAGAGGCGUCGGCAGUCAUCAUCUUCCCCAUUCGCGAGGGCUACUCCUCACGCGUCGAUGAUGACGUGAUGCUGGCGGCCAUCAUAUUUGAGCGUUUUGUGCCGAAGGUGCCGCAGUACGUGUGGCUGCGCUACGGCCUUCACGCAAAGCUGCUGAAGGGGCAGCGCUCCUGUGUGAUCGAUGAGCACAUGAAAAAGAAUAUUAUGGCGAGUGCGCUGCUGCUUCCGGGAAUUGUUCCGUUCUUGGUGAAUCUCGUACGCACGGCGUGGGCCGAGGGCGAAGAACCGGCAGAUCUGUGGACGGAGAAGGGCGUCGAUCAGUGGAAGAGUCAAUACGAGUACAGCCGGCGCAACGUGAUCAGCACAUGCCCGGUGCCGCUGCGCUUCGUAGGCGCGACGUUUGGGCAGGUGGUAGCAAGCUUCAAGUACCGUGACGUGCUCAUCGUCAGCGUGGAGGACAACGCAAGCAAGACAAUGCGCUUUGAACUCAACUACCGUCUGGAAGAGCAUGAUGUCCUGAUGGCCGUGUACGAGCGCACGCGCAACAGCCUGUCGCGCGCGCUGGAGGAGUUCAGCUCCCCCGGGCCACUGAACGAGGCGGCCAGGGAGACGUACGGCGCCCACUUCCGCCAGGACCUCGACAAGGGCGAGCUUCUGCACGAGAAUAUGAACUCCUCUUUUGUUUUCUACCCAUACAAAAGCUCCGCCUCUCUGUGCGACAUGGUGCCGCUGCAGAGCACCGUAGCCACCGGCGGCGGUGCAGCAGACAAAGAGGACGACCACGCCGACCUGAAGUCCGAGGACGAGGUGGUGUCCGUGGAAGAGGUUCGGCAGGCGCUCAUGAGCAUCUCAGAUGUCGUGCGUGCCCCGUGCGGUAUUCCGCUCGCUUCGCUGCAGUUGCGUCGAAAUACCACCUCCCACCUGUGGUACCUCACACGGCGUCGCCAAAGCCUUCUGUCGGAUUCGACCAUACCAGCGGACGAUCGCGAAGAGGAGCUUCGCUGUGUGACGGACCAGAUCAACGCAACGAUCCUCAAGGCCGCCGACGCGUAUCUAUCGGCGAUCUCUGAGCAUGACCGCCAGGCCAUGGAGUCGAAGCACCAGGACGAGGUCUUUCUCUUUAUUGAUCAGACUAGCUCUAUUCUUCGCAAGACGACCACGUCCGUUUACGAGGACGUCAUUUCGCAGACGAUUGCGCAGUACGAGCUGUACGUGAUGAUGCAGUGCAUCUGCGCGGUGCACGCCCACUCCCGCCUGACUCUUCUGACGCUGCGCAAGUAUCCGCCCCAGUUUCUGCAGACCUGGAAAGAGAUCUUUGGGACACCACUGCGCUACAUUCGAGGUCAGGGCUCCUUGGACGCGCACCUGAACUACGCCUUGACGGCGGACACGGACGUCAGCAAUGUGCGAGGCAUUCUCUUGUACUGCUCGCAGAUGGGGCCACGCGACUUUGGUGACGUUCCCAUCUGCUCCGUCGAGAACAGCGUGCGCGAUUUGCUGGAGUGGAAUGAGCAGACGCGGGAUGGGCUGAGCGGCGCGCGUGAGCAGAACAUCGUCGUAGAGCUGCAGUCCUUCCUCUUUUCUAUCAAGGUGUCCCCCUUCCACAACGAUGCAGUGUGGCGCUCGCGUGGCGAGGAAAAUUUUCAGGAGACACUCGCCUUUAUGAUGGGUCGGUUUUUUUCCUCGAACAUGCUCUUCACAAUUCUCAUCCAUAGCCACCGUGACUCGCGCAUCGUCAAGUUCUUCGAGAUGGCCCUCAACCUCACGUCCACUGCGGAGAUGUUUGACAAGGCGGUGUGGACAAACCGCACGGCACAGUCACAGACGCUCUUCAAGCUGUGCGGUAACCAGUCCCUGCACUUUGAGACCUUCGGUGACGCGUUUGAGUUUCUUCUUUCGAAGCGGAAGUGUGUGGCGAUCGGCGUGUUUCGGUUGUUCCCGGCAUCCGAGAUGCUGAGUGGCACGCCGCGCUACUUUGUGACCAACCCGCCGAUGUGCAUGCCGCUGCUGAUGGAGGAUAUCAUUUAUUGUCUGGACGGCAGCUUGAACAUGGUGCGAACGUAGCGCACCCAUGGCCAAAGGGCUGCAGAGGCGAUGAAUACGGCAGAUUUGAAGUAAGUGCGUAUGGUAACUGGUAGGCAUGCGUGUGUCUACGUUGUUGACGUCAGCAAGUGUUUUUCUCUCACGGUCAUACGAAUGGCAUCACGUUUUCUUUUUGUUGCCCAAUUCGCGUCUCCUCCGGUCGCUCAUGCCGUUAUCACUUGCCGAUCGCUUUCCCGCUACCUCUAUAUUCUUGCGCUUGCUGGCGAGUCGAGGCAGUGGCGCGCUCCCGCAAUACUCGUUGCGUUUCUAUCUCAUUCACCCACCCUCACACGUCGAAGCGCGACUCGAGUCCCCUUGAGAGAGUUUCUUCAACGCGAAAACGGCCGCUCCUGUGCACUGACCUGCUCUAGGCGUUUCGCGUUUUUUUAUGUUUCUGUUCUUCUUUGGUUAUUGUCUACGCUGCGCGCUGGAGCGUCGCUUGUGCGGUGUAUGUUUCCCGGGUCUCUGUCUCUCUUUGCAGUUGUGUAUGGAUGUGCGACUGUGCGCGUAUGUCCUCCGACGCUCCCUUCUCUGUUCUCUGUUGCGGCAGGUGCUGAGUGUUAACGCCUCCGCGAGGGCUGACACACAGGCCUUGCUUGCGUGCUGCAAGUCGUCGGGCAUCUCCUGCUUUGCUGCUGUCAAGAGGGAUGCGUGGAGGCUAGCGGCGGAGGUGGUGGUGAAGAGCACGACAGACGAUGGCGGUGCUGGAGAGCUCAACGUGUGAGAUAGAGGAUCAGACACGCGCAUCACACACUGCAAGAGGAGAGAAGAAGCGAGAGGGCACAGCGCGUUGCCACCGCUCGCCUUCUGCUUCUUUCGAUGCUUUGUGCUCAGGCGAGUGCGGACGGUAGACGGAGGGCGACGGGAGAAGUCGAUACGACUGCUGAUUGGCGGCUCGGGCCACGGUGCUUUAUGCUUGUGCGCCCUAACAUUUUUCUGCUGCUGUUGGCCACCGUCCACCUCGUUGACUUCUCCUUUGCAUGGAUCACGCCUCCUUCCCUUUUCUGUGCUGAUAGAACGAGAUAAAGAGCCUUAAAGUCGGCCGCCAUGCUCAUUGAGCAUGGCGGCGCACGUUGAGAGACAUUACCAGUUUCGACGAACCGCCGCAGAAAAGACAGAAUGGCUGGUGCACAGGUGCAUAGGUUGCAUAUUGCUGGUUUUUCUUGCGCACCGCGCCCCCUACCUCUUUCCAUGAUGACGAGGCGACACUGCUCGGUGCGUGGCAUCACAGGGCUGCGUGUAUUUUCAGUCUGUGGGGAAGCAAAGCAGCCCUGCUAUCCCCCCCCCCCUACCGAUGCGGAGCCACCUCUGAUGGUGACAGGGCCAAGCACCUACGGCGUAGGGGGAGGCCGGCGCUAUGCACCGCUGCUGAUGCCGGCGGUGAUGUGGAGGAUGGCGUUGCUCCGGAGCGACCUGCGACCGUGGACACGUGUGUGCCGCCGAUACGAUGGGCGAAGUGUCAGCGCGACUGCAGCGCAUCUCACCCGGCCCUGACUGUGCUGGUGGUGAGGGGAGCCUGAGCGCCCGCCCACGGCUGCACCGCGUGCUGGUUGGGACAAUGCGAGCGUCUGCGAGGCGACCUGCGGGGCGGAUGUGGGUGGGUCGAGCUUGAGGCGGAUGCCGUGCUCAGAUGACUGAGUGGGCGCGUUGCCGUGGCGUGUGUGUGUGUGUGCGGCUGCUUGGCACCACGCGAUGGGGCCCUGUGAGAAUGGCGGGCGGUGCAGCAGAGCUUGACUGAUUUAGUGUGGCCAAGAACGAGGCCCACUGAGAAAAAAA
rnacentral:misc_RNA from 1 species